GAGUGACAAAGAUAAAUAUGAUUAAGAUUAAGGCUAGUGUUAUUUAUGUUUACUGACAUUUAGUUACUUUAUUUGGGCGAGGAGUGAGAGUGUACUAGGCGCGUCAAAAAUAAACGAAAACUGAUAAGACAGUCAGACGCAUUAAACAAAUUAUCAUUGGAGAUACGUUGUUCGGCGAGUAGAAUCACUCUGGAGAAUAAAACGCAAAAUCAAGCGAUCGCCUUAGUAGUAAAAAGCAACAAAAAAUCCCUCUUCAACAUUUCUGAACGGACGUGAAGAUACAAGCCCCCGUGUUUAUUGGAUAAGGGGUGUGUCCUUGGGGACAAAACAUGGCGCAGUCGGCAGGGUCCGGCUUGCUGCUCUCUUUUUACGUCCGUAUAUCGUGAAUCUACGUACACUUAUGGAGCUUUGAGGACAUCAAGUUUCCCAGCCAAGAACAUCCCUUUGUUGAGGAAAACCCGACAAGCCAUUUGUGGACUUGUCCGGCCCGCCCCUUCUGCGUGUGGCCUGUAGCCCUCCAAGUUUGGGGCUCUUCAGCCCUCCAUGUAUUGUAUAGGAUACCCACCAGUGAAUAAUGCCCACCCUGUAUUGUGGAUGAUGCCCACCCUGUGUUGUGGAUGAUGCCCAUCCUAUAUUGUGGCGUGGAGGAUAGCCAAUUGUAAUAUGGAUGAUGUCCACUUUGUACCGUGGACGAUGCCCAUCCUGUUUUGUGGAGGAUGUCCACCCUGUAUUUUGGAUGAUGCCCACCCUUUAUUGUGGAGGAUGUCCACCCUGUAUUGUGGAUGAUGCCCACCCUUUACCGUGGAGAAUGCCCAUCUGUAUUGCAGAUGAUGCUCACCCUUUAUUGUGGAGGAUGUCCAUCCUGUAUUGUGGAUGAUGCUCACCCUUUACCGUGGAGAAUGCCCAUCCUGUAUUGUGGAUCUUGUAAUUACCAAUCAUGGCUUCCAAUUCUUUGGACGUGGAUUGUUCCAAUCAAAAUAUUAGUCUUAUUAUCAACUUUUA